AAAAAAUUGUUUAUUUGUUUAGGCUUAGUAAACCAGUUCCCAAACACAGUCAGACUCUUCCCAUUGUCAUCUGAUUGCAGAGAGAAAGCACACCUUAUUUCCAGGGAAAGCUACAACAAGCCCAAGGUCAAAGUGUAUUAUUUUUUGUCUUGUUGUUGUCUAUUUUCUCCCAAUUUUUUUUUGAAAUUCAGAGGCUCAUAUCUGAAAUAGAAUUUUAGUUCCUCUUUCCUUUCCUAAAAUUGGGGAAGUACAGCCCAUGCUGACAUUAUUUUCAGGCUAUUCUUAGAUAUACAAGUUGUUAGGCCAGGUGCAAUGGCUCGCACCUGUAAUCCCAGCACUUUGGGGGGCUGAGGCAGGCAGAUCGGUUGAGCUCAGGAGUUCAAGACCAGCCUGGACAACAUGGCAAAACCCUGUCUCUCCCAAGAAUACAAAAAUUAGCCAGGCAUGGUGGCACACACCUGUGGUCCCAGCUACUCAGGAGACUGAGGUGGGAGGAUCGCUUGAGCCUCGGAGGCGGAGGUUGCAGUGAGCUGAGAUUGUACCACUGCGCUCCAAACUGGGUGACAUGGUGAGACCUUGUCUCCAAAAAAAAAAAAAAAAAAAAAAA
rnacentral:lncRNA from 10 species